rnacentral:rRNA from 1 species
CACGUAGGGCGCAAGCGUUGUCCGGAAUUAUUGGGCGUAAAGAGCUCGUAGGCGGUUUGUCGCGUCUGCUGUGAAAAACCUCAGGCUCAACCUGGGGCUUGCAGUGGGUACGGGCAGACUAGAGUGCGGUAGGGGUGACUGGAAUUCCUGGUGUAGCGGUGGAAUGCGCAGAUAUCAGGAGGAACACCGAUGGCGAAGGCAGGUCACUGGGCCGCAACUGACGCUGAGGAGCGAAAGCAUGGGGAGCGAACAGG